AUUGAACGCUGGCGGCAGGCCUAACACAUGCAAGUCGAACGAGUGGCGGACGGGUGAGUAAUGUCUGGGAAACUGCCUGAUGGAGGGGGAUAUCUACUGGAAACUGUAUCUCAUACCGCAUACCAUCGGAUGUGCCCAGAUGGGAGUAGCUAGUAGGUGGGUUAAAGGCUCACCUAGGCGACGAGCCCUAGCUGGUCUGAGAGGAUGAGCAGCCAGACUGGAACUGAGACACGGUCCAGACUCCUACGGGAGGCAGCAGUGGGGAAUCUUGAACAAUGGGCGCAAGCCUGAUGCAGCCAUGCCGCGUGUAUGAAGAAGGCCUUCUGGUUGUAAAGUACUUUCAGCGGGGAGGCGUUACCCGCAGAAGAAGCACCGGCUAACUCCGUGCCAGCAGCCGCGGUAAUAC
rnacentral:rRNA from 1 species